ACGCCAGACCCUUCGACGAGUUUCUCUAAGGAAUGAAAUGAUGAUGAAAUGUUCAUAAUGAUAAUGGUGUUACUCGAAAACUAGGCUCAAUGCGUCCUUGUUGAGUUGCAUAAAUUGCCACUUUUGGAUUCACAUUGAUGGAGAGUUCUUCUAGGAAGCAUGUGCAGAUGUUACAGCACCUCGAGGGGUUGUGAAUAUGACGAGGACUCUAUGUUCUCCUUAAAUCGAGGGGCUGGGCGAAGUAUGCAUGCAAUGGAGGGAGGACAGAAUUAGGGGUCUAGGGUGGGUCACUUUACUUGGCUACCUCCACGUGGUGCGACCUGGCUAAUCGAUAACGUUUUCCAAGAUUUAUAUCUUGCGAAACUUUCUAGAGCUGACUACUAUGGAAUACUUUGAACAUUCUUAUUAACUUUAUUCUUGAAUGGAGAAAAAUAAAUAGAGAACGCGAUCCGGUCGCUAACAUUUCGCGAGAAUUUCCGAGUUUGGACAAUUCAUGAAUCACCCUCGAGAAUUACC